GAUGAACGCUAGCGGCAGGCCUAAUACAUGCAAGUCGAACGGUCCGCUUCGGCGGAUAGUGGCGCACGGGUGCGUAACACGUAUGCAACCUACCUUACAUUGGGGGAUAGCCUUUCGAAAGGGAGAUUAAUACCGCAUAAGACAGUAGCUGGGCAUCCAGUAGCUGUUAAAGAUUUAUCGAUGUAAGCUGGGCAUGCGUCCAAUUAGUUAGUUGGUGAGGUAACGGCUCACCAAGACGAUGAUUGGUAGGGGAACUGAGAGGUCAAUCCCCCACACUGGCACUGGGAUACGGGCCAGACUCCUACGGGAGGCAGCAGUAGGGAAUAUUGGGCAAUGGACGCAAGUCUGACCCAGCCAUGCCGCGUGCAGGAAGAAGGCGUUCUGCGUUGUAAACUGCUUUUAUAUAGGAAGAAACGGCCCUUGCGAGGGGCAUUGACGGUAUUAUAUGAAUAAGCACCGGCUAACUCCGUGCCAGCCGCCGCAGUAACAC
rnacentral:rRNA from 1 species